rnacentral:rRNA from 1 species
GGUUAAGUUAGAAAGGGCGCACGGUGGAUGCCUUGACACUAGGAGUCGAUGAAGGACGGGACUAACGCCGAUAUGCUUCGGGGAGCUGUAAGUAAGCUUUGAUCCGAAGAUUUCCGAAUGGGGAAACCCACCAUACGUAAUGGUAUGGUAUCCUUACCUGAAUACAUAGGGUAAGGAAGACAGACCCAGGGAACUGAAACAUCUAAGUACCUGGAGGAAGAGAAAGCAAAUGCGAUUUCCUGAGUAGCGGCGAGCGAAACGGAAUCUAGCCCAAACCAAGAGGCUUGCCUCUUGGGGUUGUAGGACAUUCUAUACGGAGUUACAAA